UGAGGAAUAUUGCGCAAUGGGGGAAACCCUGACGCAGCAACGCCGCGUGAGUGAGGAAGGUUUUCGGACCGUAAAGCUCUGUCGAGCGGGAAGAAAUGCAUGGUGGCUAAUAUCCAUCAUGCUUGACGGUACCGCUAAAGGAAGCACCGGCUAACUCCGUGCCAGCAGCCGCGGUAAUACGGAGGGUGCAAGCGUUGUUCGGAAUCAUUGGGCGUAAAGAGCGUGUAGGCGGCUAGGCAAGCCAGAUGUGAAAUCCCUGGGCUUAACCCAGGACGUGCAUUUGAAACUGCCCAGCUUGAGUAAGGAAGAGGGAAGUGGAAUUCCUGGUGUAGAGGUGAAAUUCGUGGAUAUCAGGAGGAACACCGGUGGCGAAGGCGACUUCCUGGUCCUAUACUGACGCUGAGACGCGAGAGCGUGGGGAGCAAACA
rnacentral:rRNA from 1 species